ACCUACAGAACCUGAAGGCAACACAAGCUCAUGUGUGAUGCUUUCAUUUACUCUCCUAUCGUGUGUGUGUGUGGCUCUUUUGUUCAAAAAAUAAAAUAAAAUUAUGAUGAUAUUAAUAGAAGUACUGAUUUGAUUAAUCCUGUGUGAGAUUUACAGAAACAGGUUGUGUCUCUCUGUAGUUAAUAGCAGGAAAUGAUCAGGAGGUGUUCCUGUUUCAACCUUCUCUUUGUUUCAACCACUGACUUCGGAUGAGAAAGUGUUCAGAUGAACAACGUCAAACUGCAUCCCACCCUCUGGCUAAAGUUUGUGUGUUCAGCCUGCAUGUUGUGAAAUCCUGCUGGACACAUCCCAGAGAACCCACAGCACACUGUUAGUGUAACUGCAGGGUAAAACACACCAGAGUCAGACAUUAUCUCACCACAAUGACCAGGAAACAAUGUGUGAGGUGUGUUUCUUGUUUCAGGUUCCUGGUGAGUGGGGCAUGUUUCCAGGUCCGGGACCCUGCAUUCUAACGCUGUAUAAUCUGCUGCUGUCACUUCAUUCGGCACUCUGCGCUCUCCUUCCUGCCAUUGUCAUGUCUUUUAUCCUGUCUUUCUCCCCUCACCCUCAACUGGUCACAGCUCUCCCUGAGCCUGGUUCUGCUGGAGGUCUCUUACUGUUAAAAGACCAGAAAAUCUUCACAGCAGAGUCCGGACAGAACGUCACUCUGCCAUGUCGAGCUCCAAAUAUCACUGUUCCCAUCAGAGCUGUGGAGUGGUUCAGACUUGACCAGCUGGAAGGACAUGUCCUCAUGUACCGGGAGGAGCAGUUUGUUUCAUUCAACCAGCUUCAUUCGUUUGUGAACCGGGUGGAUCUGCAGGACAGACGGAUGAAGGACGGAGACGUGUCUUUGGUUCUGAAGGAUGUGACGAGGAAUGACACUGGGACAUAUCAGUGUUAUGUCAUUCAGAGAGAAACGAACCACAGGAAGAGUGUUGUGGAACAUAUCAGCAUCAUCUACCUGAGUGUUGAUCCUCCAGGUCAGACAGGAGGACACACAGAGGAUGGAGGGAAGGAGGAUGUAGGGAAGGAGGCAGGAUCUGUUGGACUGAAUGUUUGUCAUCUUUUGCUUCUUGCAGCUGUUGUUGCUUUUUCUGUGACCUUUAAAAAAUCAAAAGCACAGCAGAAGCAGAAUUACUACAAACCUCCAGCUGAACAGAUCGUUGCAAGGUUUCAGAUGCCGUAACAGCUGAAUUGUGAGUGAACUCCUGCUGUUCUUAGUAUUGCAACAGGACAGAUAAAGGUUGGUAAUGCUGGAUAAAUAGAAGCUCGGAGUCUGUAUAGGUCUACCAUGUCGGGUCAGAUUCUUAUAUGCAACACCCAAAAUUACAGCCAUUCCUUCCUUAUCAGUGUGUUUAGGAAAAGAUAACAUAAGAGAAGAUAAACCUUUAUUAGUCCCACAUGUGGGAAUUUUGGGGGGAAAUCCCACCAACAUAAGAUUAGGAACAUUAGAAUCAAAGUGGUUCAAAUAGGCCUCACAUGCAUGUAAUGUAUUUUAAUUGCACUACAUUAAACAGGACUCUGUGUCAGCCUUUAACAAUGCGUUGUUCCACACUUAGUCACUACAGUAA